AAAAACAGAAACCUGCUACAAAACACAAGACAAACCGUUCAGUAUUGCUGAUGUUUUUACCCCACACUCUAAACACGUUUUUUGUUUUAAAUAAACAUUUGAAUUCGUUAUUAAUCAUUCUUCCUUGUUUUUGUAAAAAAACGUUGACAUUACUAAAUAUAAUUAGUUGUUUGAACUAUUCAGACGAAAUGUUGAAUGCAGAGUGAUUAUGUUAACUUUCUUACAGUUACAGUCAACAGAAAUAUUUAGAUACAAUAAACAACAUAUAUUUUGCACACAAAUACUAUAAACCUCACUCUUCUUCUUCUUCUUCUUCUUCUUCUUUCUUUUACAAAUUAACAGUUUAUGAAAGUUUUAAUAAAUAAAAUACACAAUAGUUUAUUGACUCACUUGUUGUAUUGGAGCUUUGCAUGUUCGAUGAUUCCAGAACUGAACUCUCUUCCCUGGACUUGGAGGAAAACCCUACUUCUCCCAGAGCACAGAAUAAACAAAAGCCUAUAUUACUAGAAAAAUGAUUCAUACUCAAAUAGAAUAUACUUUAUCUGAUAACUGGCAAGGGGGGAGUGCCAAUGUACAGGGGGCAUGUUUACUGGUCAAAUGAGUGCCAGUCAGUCAAGUCCGUCCCACAGUACACAGCAAAGCUGGAGAUGAUGUUAACCGAAACACUUGGAGAGGGUUUUGUGGUUUAGUUUGUGGUUUUUCGCUCAACAUUCAUCUCGACCCUACAGAGGGUUUGUGGUUAGAAGGAAAAUCACAGGUGGAAAGUAAAUUACCUACUGUACUAUUUAAUAUGUGGUUGUUAUUUCUGUUGUUACUACUGGAGGGCAGUAUGUGAUAAUUGAUAUAAAGAGCACAAUGAGAAAAGGACGCUGUGAAGUGAUGUAACAAUAUUUGUUGUUAUGAAAAUGUCAGCAGUAUUUAUUGAGAAACAGCCUCUUUAUUUGAGAAAUACAACAUCUGCCUCCACCCUAAACCUACUUCUUACUCAUAUCCCUUAAUCAUUCCUCCACCCUUACCCUAAUUUCGAUAAAACAAUUCUGGGAACUAAAGGCGCCUCGGAUAUCCUUUUGAUUACCCCAUUGAUAACUUAAAAAUGUAUUUUUUUUUAUAACUUAAUGUAUAACUUAAAAAUGUAUUUUAAGUGCCUCAAAGCUCUUUUUCUCAUAAUAGGAUUCAUUGAGGAACCAUAGUCUUUGCAGUUUGUGCAGGAGCUCCUUUCCUCAAAGAACCAACCGCUGCUCAAGAAAAUCCAGUAUACAUGAGUUCUCUUUAAAUCUCAACAGAGCAGCACUAUAGUCAUAAAGGCAGUCGCAGUAUAUUUCGGCUAUGAGUGAAACGCAUGGCGGCGGUCUCAGCCGUGAGCAGUUCCCCGCCGAACACGACUCCAGCUCGGGCACGAGAACCAGCGCGGCGCGGCGCGGCGCGGCGCAGUUACGGUGUCUGACUAUCCAGUUUGCCCUACCUGACUGUAGGCAUGAAGAUGGCAUGAAGAAGGAUGCUGCAAUGCGGUCUGCAACAAGAGUAGAGCACCUCAAAGCUGCCGAUUGGAUGACUAAUAGGAGGGGCGUUGACGUUGAUUGCUCGACGUCACAGCUUCUCCUGAAUGUGUGCCAAGUUAAAAGUGAAAGUAUAAACUGAAGGAGCGUAGGCGGAGCGUGUGUAAGGCCGGGGAAGCAUUAGCAGAUAUAGACCUACGUACAAUGUAAAUUAGAGAUUCAUUUUGCAGUGCAGACAGCUUUAGUGAUUAUAAGGACGUUUUUUUUGUUGAGAGAGAGAGAGAGAGCACUUAAACUCGCGAUAGAUCAAAGUUAUAAUGUCACUUUAUUUUCUAUUCGCCGUUUAAAUAGGCUAUCCGUGGAAAGUUCUAUAAUUAUCAAUUUCUAAUGUUUUAAUUAAAAACUGUAAUCACGUAAAAUACAAAUUCAGUUCCAUUAAACAUAUUUAUUAGCCUAUAUGACACCACUGUCUGGUUCUUGCCUAAAAAGACAUGGUGUUUGUAUUUAUUAAUAGAUUUGGCUGCUUUUAGCCUUCGCCCAUGGUAAUCGCGCGUUUGAGUUUAAUUUUUAAAAGGGGAAGCAAAUAUCAAUUAGUCAGUACUUUAAAAGGUCUAAGUUGGACAUUACAAUUUUACUGCAUCAAGAAACCAACAAUAACACUGCAGAUGAACCUCAGUCUCCUGCUAAUGAGCCUAGGCCACUGUCGCCAUCAAUGCACGGGGCGUCUGCUAAUGAACCAUAAGAGUCAGUGUCAAAGGAUUCUGGAACUCCACCAGCAGACCUGUCUGAUAUGGACGAGCCACCCAUGCAGCCAAAAUUGCAACGAUUUCCAGUUAUUAUACAAUACAAGGAAAACCACGAUGUUUUUCUUUGCGAUGGUAUGAGAGAUUCAGCUGAUUGGAAUACAGCACAGCCAGCGAUGCAGUUUUCUGUAUCCUGCAGGCAUUUCCCUGAGCUAUAAGCAAAAUGUACACAGGAUGGAUUUAAAGAGUUGAAUCAUCUAAGUAAAGCAUGUAAGAAGCACCAGGAUACCAAAGGACACCUGCGCUCACAAACGAAACUACCGCUUAUAGACAAAGAUAUUCCGUUGCGUGGUCACAGAGAAAGCGAGGAAGUAUUAAACCAGGGAAUUUUUUUGGAAUUGUUCCGUUUGCUUUCAAACUAUUAUACGAACAUUCAACCGCGCCUUGACCAGCUGCCUAAAAAUGCGACGAUGAUGAGCUCAGAUAUUCAGAAAGAUUUGCUGCGCAAGAUAAAAAGCGAGUUACAAAUUACACCAGGCAUGCCAUUAUGGCCACGGCCACCCCUGUAUAAACUCUGGCCACCCCUGUGGCCACCCCUAGGAUGAUUUGCAGUGGCCACUAUUAAUUUAAAUCUAUUUUAAAUCUAUUAAUUUUAGAUCUAUAUAAUUUAUAUGUCAUUUAAUAUAGUUACUAUCACACGAAGAGUGACGUUUUUCUCCAGAAGUCUGCAUAAUUGCAAAUGUGACAUUGAUUUCAUACAACAGUUCAAUAAACAAGAAGUUAAUAUCAAGAGUUUUACGUUUUAGACAACAUAUUCACUUUUUGCGCUCUAUUUCUAAAAACAAAAUCGUUCCAAACACAGCCACUGUUUUGCGUCUCUGAGCAACAUGAUAGUGUUUCGUUCCUGAAUGAAUCAACCGUUUAAAUGAUUCGGUUCAAUCGCAAUGACUCGCUUAUUAACAGUGACUCGCUGCCACCUACUGGCUGUUUUAAUUUCACAUUUAAGGUACCAUUUCAUUUUUUUAA
ensembl:lncRNA